rnacentral:other from 11 species
UUGACUAUGUGAUCUUGCUUUCGUAAUAAAAUUCUGUACAUAAAAGUCGAAAGUAUUGCUAUAGUUAAGGUUGCGCUUGCCUAUUUAGGCAUACUUCUCAGGAUGGCGCGUUGCAGUCCAACAAGAUCCAGGGACUGUACAGAAUUUUCCUAUACCUCGAGUCGGGUUUGGAAUCUAAGGUUGACUCGCUGUAAAUAAU